ACAUGUUGAUAGACAUGUGCUUGGGAAAAUCUGUAGGCAACUUGGGUGGUUGGCCAUUCCUCCAUGGCCCAGGAGUUGCCAAGAGGCUAACUCCCACACACCUAGCUGCUGCAUCGUCAGCUAAAAGAGGAUGGGAGGCAUUCUCAGACUGAGAAUGCAAAGGCUGAGCACAGAAUGAAGGCUUGAGCAGGCCUCACAGGUAAACUUUGGGUUUUAUGAAA
rnacentral:lncRNA from 1 species